rnacentral:rRNA from 1 species
CGGGACGGGUGAGUAAUGUCUGGGAAACUAGCCUGAUGGAGGGGGGUAACUACUGGAAACGGUAGCUAAUACCGCAUAACGUCGCAAGACCAAAGAGGGGGACCUUCGGGCCUCUUGCCAUCGGAUGUGCCCAGAUGGGAUUAGCUAGUAGGUGGGGUAACGGCUCACCUAGGCGACGAUCCCUAGCUGGUCUGAGAGGAUGACCAGCCACACUGGAACUGAGACACGGUCCAG